AGCGAACGCUGGCGGCAGGCCUAACACAUGCAAGUCGAACGAACUCUUCGGAGUUAGUGGCGGACGGGUGCGUAACACGUGGGAACGUGCCUUUUGGUUCGGAAUAACUCAGGGAAACUUGUGCUAAUACCGAAUGUGCCCUUCGGGGGAAAGAUUUAUCGCCAUUAGAGCGGCCCGCGUCUGAUUAGCUAGUUGGUGAGGUAACGGCUCACCAAGGCGACGAUCAGUAGCUGGUCUGAGAGGAUGACCAGCCACACUGGGACUGAGGCACGGCCCAGACUCCUACGGGAGGCAGCAGUGGGGAAUCUUGCGCAAUGGGCGAAAGCCUGACGCAGCCAUGCCGCGUGAAUGAUGAAGGUCUUAGGAUUGUAAAAUUCUUUCACCGGGGACGAUAAUGACGGUACCCGGAGAAGAAGCCCCGGCUAACUUCGUG
rnacentral:rRNA from 1 species